UACGUAGGGUGCAAGCGUUAAUCGGAAUUACUGGGCGUAAAGCGUGCGCAGGCGGUUUUGUAAGCCGGAUGUGAAAUCCCCGGGCUUAACCGUGGGAACUGGGCAUUCGGGACUGCAAGGCUGGAGUGCGGCAGAGGAGACUGGAAUCCUGGUGUAGCAGUGAAAUGCGUAGAAUAUCAGGAGGAACACCGGUGGCGAAGGCGGGUCUCUGG
rnacentral:rRNA from 1 species